GCGAAUAGAGUCUUCUACUAAGCCUGAUGAUGUUAUUAAAGUUUGAAUUUUGAAGGCACUGUAUUUUCUAUUUGUUCAAAGCAUUCCAAGUCAGCUAAAUAGCAUAAACACUCUGUGGCUACAGGAAAGGGAGCUGGAACUCGAGGAUAGAUAUGACUCAGAGUGAUGGUCUGCUUCCUGAAGAAUGACCUUUGCUGCCUGGUUGUCCUGACUGUCGGAGAGAGAGGCCAGGAAAUGUAUUCAAAGCAUGGACGCAUCAGUAACCGGGACACACACGUAUAUACGCUCAGUGGCUGUUCCUCCUCCACCAACUGAAAUGAUACGCAGUUUUAUUUCUGCAGUUUUUACAAAAUAAUUGAACUUAGUCCCUCACUUUCUAUAGGGAAGUAGAUGAGACAUAAUUUUAAAUAUUAAUGCAACAGAAGUCUUAAACAUAUACACGAUGUUUGAACUUUUACAAAAUAUUUUUCCUUAGAGAAACCUUUGGAGGCUGAAUGAUGUGGAUAGAGUUCAAGUUUUGAAGUUAGAUCUGGUUUAAAUCUGUUUCCCCAUAUGAGCAGCUGUGUUGCUUAUUCUUUUUGAUCUCAUUUCCUUAUCUAUAAAUGUAAUGAUAACUUUUAAAUCUUUCCGGGAUAUUAUGAGGAUCAAAUGAGAAAAUUUAUGUGAGGUGUCUGGCAGGGAGUUGAUGCUCAAUAAAAUUUAGUUCCCUGCUAUGGCCACAGACUGCUGGUUGCCUAACCGAUUUCCAUGUCUCCUGUUUAUUUAGUACCAGUACGCUGAUUUCAUUCAGAUGGUACUGUGCUCAGGAAUGAGGCCAUAUACCCAGCUUCCUUUGCUGCUAGAUACUAUCAUGUGACUUAAUUCUAACCAAUGAAAUGUAUGAAGUUUUUGGAUGGCAA